GAACUGGAUGAAGGUUUUACAAUGAAGAAGGUUUUUCCUAACUUAAAAAAAAUAAUUUAUAUUUUAAGUAAAAAUACUUAAAUAAUUUAAAAAGACGAUAAGACCCUAAAAGUUUGAGUUAUAUUAAUUUAUUUGUGUUUAUAAAUAGGAUAAUGUUUAUUUAACGUUCGCUGGGGUAGUUGUUUUAUAAAAGUUAGGUUUGGUUAAACCAUAUAUUAAUGAAUAUCAGAUCUUAUAUAUAUGGAUGAAUAGAUUUAAUUACUUUAGGGAUAACAGCGCGAUAAUUUUAAGGAGACCAUAUUUAUGAAAUUGAUUGCGACCUCGAUGUUGAAUUAAAAUAAACUAUACGGGGCAGAAGACGUAUAAGAGAGUUUGUUCAACUUUUAAAUUUUUACAUGAUUU
rnacentral:rRNA from 1 species